rnacentral:sRNA from 1 species
GGAAAAGGCGCAGUCUCGGUGGGAUUGCGUGCAGGAGGGUCGCGGUCUGGCUGUGGCGGAGGAGCAUAAGAAGGUGUCCUGUCAGAAGAACAGAUCCGCCUGAAGAAACUGAAGCGGCAAGAGGAGGAACAGGCUCAUGCCACAUCCUUGCCCCCCAGGGCUUCCUCACCCCCCCAAAUCCUGCCCCAGCUCAGCCCGGAGCAACUGGGCAUGAUCGAGAAGCUGGUCGCUGCCCAGCAACAGUGUAACCGGCGCUCCUUUUCUGACCGGCUUCGAGUCACGGUACUUGACACACCUGGGGAGAGGCGGCUGCGCCCAGAUCACCAGUGGGCUUCUUGAUGUCCGACUCAAAGUGCUUUGCCUUUUCCCUCCUGGGUAGCCUUGGCCCAUGGCACCAGAUCCCCAUAGCCGGGAGGCCCGUCAGCAGCGCUUUGCCCACUUCACUGAGCUGGCCAUCGUGUCUGUGCAGGAGAUAGUUGACUUUGCUAAACAGCUACCCGGCUUCCUGCAGCUCAGCCGGGAGGACCAGAUUGCCCUGCUGAAGACCUCUGCGAUCGAGGUGGCUGGAGAAGGGCAAGGGAUGAAGGGAGAAGCAGAGUGGGAUUAUCUGUGGGAGGGGCCUCCAGACAUCGAGCUGGGAGAGCCAAAUCUGCUGGGAAGCAGGGAUGAGGAGACUCGGCCUCCCUGGAAGAGGCCAUGCUCCAAGACCAGCCCUCCUAGUCCCCGUUUGAGGUUUGCUGCUUGUGUGCAGGUGAUGCUUCUGGAGACAUCUCGGAGGUACAACCCUGGGAGUGAGAGUAUCACCUUCCUCAAGGAUUUCAGUUAUAACCGGGAAGACUUUGCCAAAGCAGG